rnacentral:lncRNA from 1 species
AGUCAGCAUUAAGGUUUUAAACCCUAAACUGAACUUUUCCAUUUAGUCAGCAUUAGGGUUUUAAACCCUAAACUGAACUUUUCCAUUUAGUCAGCAUUAGGGUUUUAAAGCCUAAACUGAACUUUUCCAUUUAGUCAACAUUAGGGUUUUAAACCCUAAACUGAACUUUUUCCAUUCAGUCAGCAUUAGGGUUUUAAACCCUAAACUGAACUUUUUCCAUUUAGUCAGCAUUAGGGUUUUAAACCCUAAACUGUACUCUUUCCUUUAGUCAGCAUUAGGGUAUUAAACCCUAAACUGAACUCUUUCCUUUAGUCAGCAUUAGGGUUUUAAACCCUAAACUGAACUCUUUCCUUUAGUCAGCAUUAGGGUUUUAAACCCUAAACUGAACUUUUUCCUUCAGUCAGCAUUAGGGUUUUAAACCCUAGACUGAACUCUUUCCUUUAGUCAGCAUUAGGGUUUUAAACCCUAAACUGAACUCUUUCCUUCAGUCAGCAUUAGGGUUUUAAACCCUAAACUGAACUUUUUCCAUUCAGUCAGCAUUAGGGUUUUAAACCCUAAACUGAACUUUUUCCAUUUAGUCAGCAUUAAGGUUUUAAACCCUAAACUGAACACUUUCCUUCAGUCAGCAUUAGGGUUUUAAACCCUAAACUGAACUUUUUCCUUUAGUCAGCAUUAGGGUUUUAAACCCUAAACUGAACUCUUUCCUUCAGUCAGCAUUAGGGUUUUAAACCCUAAACUGAACUCUUUCCUUCAGUCAGCAUUAGGGUUUUAAACCCUAAACUGAACUUUUUCCAUUUAGUCAGCAUUAGGGUCUUAAACCCUAAACUGUACUCUUUCCUUUAGUCAGCAUUAG